rnacentral:guide_RNA from 1 species
AUUAAAUUACAACGGUGGUAGUUUAGUGUGAGUUAGUUUGUAGAAUGGU